rnacentral:rRNA from 1 species
GGUGAACGCUGGCGGCGUGCUUAACACAUGCAAGUCGAACGAAGCACUUUAUUUGAUUUCCUUCGGGACUGAUUAUUUUGUGACUGAGUGGCGGACGGGUGAGUAACGCGUGGGUAACCUGCCUUGUACAGGGGGAUAACAGUUGGAAACGGCUGCUAAUACCGCAUAAGCGCACAGCAUCGCAUGAUGCAGUGUGAAAAACUCCGGUGGUAUAAGAUGGACCCGCGUUGGAUUAGCUAGUUGGUGAGGUAACGGCCCACCAAGGCGACGAUCCAUAGCCGACCUGAGAGGGUAACCGGCCACAUUGGGACUGAGACACGGCCCAAACUCCUACGGGAGGCAGCAGUGGGGAAUAUUGCACAAUGGGCGAAAGCCUGAUGCAGCGACGCCGCGUGAGCGAAGAAGUAUUUCGGUAUGUAAAGCUCUAUCAGCAGGGAAGAUAAUGACGGUACCUGACUAAGAAGCACCGGCUAAAUACGUG